UGAAGAGAGGGCGGGAUAACUCUACCCACGUGAUCAUCCACGAGCGCCGUGCAGGGUCGCUGAGAACAACAGGAAGUGCAGAUGCCGGAGAAUUCGAGACAACACGGUGCAGAGCUGGAUGAACAUAGCAGGUCAAGCAGCAUCAGAAGAGCAGGAAAGCUGGCGUUUCGGGUCUCGAUCCUUCGCUGAGACCAAGAUUUGUGCAAUUGAGAUACCAGCGAUCGUUGCCAAAGCCCUGCUACCUCUGGAGAAGGAUUCGAAGCCAGGUCCCCAGGAUGUUAUCUGGGUCUCUGAAUAAAUAAUCUAGCGAUAAUACUGCUGCCGAUUUUAUCACCUGCGGAGGAUGGUCUAUGGCAUUCUGCAGGAGCCAUGAGACUUCCAGGCGUCAGAGUCAGUGUCGAGUACUCCCAGGUCAGUUACUGCGGUCAGAAUGGCACUGUGCUGCCACGUCUGUCCUGCUCCUGGGACAGGUCUUCACUAAGGAUAAUAGAAGGGGACUUCCAUGUGGGGAACUCAAUAAUUUUAACACCAAACUCUGACAGAAUUACUCAAUUCAUCAGCACCUGGAUAUUUGCAUUGUGUGUGAAUAUUGUGUUCCUGCUCAUUUCUCAUUUGCCGUGUAAAAUUUCUCUCUUAAAUCACCCCAUUUUCUCAAUAGAUCGUCCCUAAAAUUUUCAAUGUGUCCUGUAAUUUUUUUUAAGAUCAGUCAUGAGUCUACAUUUUAUCAUUCUAAAGUGUUUCUUUUGUAAACACCUCUAUCAAAGGUCCCCUCAAAAUCCUUUGUGACAAGGAGAGCAAUCUCAGUUUCCCCAAACACCUGAUUCCCCAAUGACUGUUUGCUGUCUAUAAGGCACUCGUCUGGAUUGUAUUGGAACAUUUUCCACUUCCCUGCAUGCGUACAGCCCCAACACUGUUCGAAAAAGUGAACAUCCUCCAGAAGAAGCGCUCUGUCAGAGUCGUGUCCCAUCCACCACAUUCGACAUUCCCCUCUACACCACCAAGGCACAGUGGCAUCACUGUGCCAAAGGUAAAGUCACCAUUGUCCUAACUGACCAUAGGGCUGGUUUAACCUGAAGAUUACCACACCCGACUCGAGGGGAGAGGUUGAGAAGGAGAGUCCAUCUAUUAUAGAUGGAUAUUUGCUGUGUACCAGCAACGCAAAAGUCAAAUGAAAGAAUAAUGUCAAAAAAAAAGCUCUAACCAUGCAACUAAAAACCUUCUUCCCUACAAACCAUUCUGUUAAAUCUCCUCUGCCCCCUAUCAGGGACCCUCCCGUCCUUCACAGUGUGUGUGGGAUCUUUGGUUUGCACAGACUCAGCUCGUCUCUGUUCCUGUCUGUGAUGUCAUCAUGCUGUGACAAUGGUACUGAACCUCACUGUCUGUGAGGGUGGUAGGCACAGAGAUCCUCAUAGCGUUUAAGGCAUAUUUAGAUGCCCACUUGUGAUGCCAACGCAGACAAGUCUAUGGGCCAAGUGCUGGAAAAUUAGUUUAGAGUCGUUAGGUAAUAGUUUUUAACUGGCACAGGCUGGAUGGGCCACAGAGCCUUUUUCUGGACUGGAGACCUUCGAGACUCUUCACAUAGGAAGAUGCCAAGCAAUAUUUCAAGCCAUUUCAGAAAAUGAGAUACUACAAUGAUCAAUCAUGAGCUAUUCAAUGUUUUCUGGAGAAAAGUGAGGUACAGCGAUGAAGUGGUUUACCAAGAAUUUCUGGAGCUUGAAUCCCAGGAAAUUGCAGGUGCCACCAUCAAGUGGAGGAAUAAAAAUGGGGCAUCAUCAUUAGGACUGUAUUAGAGGAAGGGACAUGUUGAGAUUUGUGAGGCUGGAGAAUAUUAGAGACAGGAAGGGUUCUGAGACUGGAGAAGAUUUAAAAAGUCGGGAAAAGUGAGUUUGGAGGAGGUUACAGAAAUGGUGAGGAUUGUGAGGCUGGAUUAGAUGUCAAACAAAGGGAGGUUUGUGAGGGUAAAGACAGUUAGAGCUAAGGAAGUUUAUAUGGGCUGGAGGAUUUUGGAGACAGGAGGGUGUUGAACAAAGAACAAAAAUUACAGCACAGGAACAGGCCCUUCGGCCCUCUAAGCCUGUGCCGAUCCAGAUCCUCUAUCCAACCCUGUCACCUAUUUUCCAAUGAUCUGUAUCUGUCUUCUCCCUGCCCAUUCAUGUAUCUGUCUAGAUACAUCUUAAAUGAUGCUAUCGUGCCCACCUCUACCACCUCCGCUGGCAAUGCAUUCCAGGCACCCACCACCUGCUGUGUAAAGAAUUUUCCACACAUAUCCCCCUUAAACGUUUCCCCCCUCACCUUGAAACCUGGAGGAGAUUAAAGGUGAGGUUUGUGAGACUGGAGAAUCUACAGAGAGGGUAAGAGGUUUGAGGCUAGAGGGGGAUUCCAACGAUAGGCAGGUCGUAAGGCUUGAGAGGGAUUCCAGCAACGUGGAGGGUGGUGAGGCUUGAGGUGAUGGCUACAAUAGUGCAGGUAGUGAGACUCGAGGGUCAUUCCCAUGAUAGGGAGGGUAGUGAGGUUUGAGGAAUGAUUCCUCCGAUAGAGAGGGUGUUGAGGCUUCAGCGCAGAUUAUCGUCUGAACAGCACAGUGGUGUACUUGAAGCAUGUGGAGUGCAGCAUUUACAGAAAGUGGUUCAACACCACUUUCUGCAAAUCAAAUAAAAAUGGCAAUCAAUAUUACUCUGGGCAGCAAAGGCCACAUCCCAUGAGUCAAUUAAAAUUAUGAUGUGUUUCUGGUUUGGAGAGAGCUAGAAGAAGCUGAGAUAAUUCUCCUUGGGGCUGAUUAGGAAUGAUUUUGUCGAGUAGUAGGUUUGUUUCCAGGAUAUUAGUUUGCAGAGAGAAAUUAUUAACAUUGUGCAAUGUUUGGUAACUGCAGAAUACAACAUCCAGAUAAUUGGCAAAUAAUGCAGGGUGAAAAUGUGAAGAUUACUUGACUCAGCAAGUUCCCAGGACCUGGAACAGUCUGAAUGGCAGCUGGAUGCAGAUUUAGCAGUGAUUCUCAAGAGAUUUGGGAUUUAACUUUUCAAGGCAUGAUCAAGAGGGCGGUGGACAAAUGGUGGGAGAAUUGGGUCAGAUUUGCAGCAUCUCUAGAAUAAGAGUAAAGUCUUUGACAGGGUUCCACAUGGUUGACUGAUGAGUAAAGUUAGAUCACAUGUGAUUCAUUAAGAGCUUGCUAAUUGGAAGCGGAAUUGGCUUAGUUGUAGGAGAGCCCGUGGUGCUGCAGGAUUUUUCAGAGUGGAGUUCUGUGACCACCGUGUUCCACAGCAAUCGGUACAGGGUCCACUUCUUUGUUUCUCAUUAAUAUAAAUGAUUUGGAAGAGAAUUUAAGGGACAAAAGUAAUAAGUUUGCAGAUGAUACUAGAAAUGGUGGUUACAGUAGUUAGUGAAGGCUGUCUAAGAUGACAGUGAGAUCUUGAUCAAUUGGCUCAAUGGGUUGAGGAGUGGAGGAUGAAGUUCAAUUUGAAUAAAUGUGAGACAUUGUAUUUUGGUAAAAUGAACAAGGGUAGGACUUGCACAAUUGAUGGUUGCACCCAGGGUAGUGUUGUGGAACAGAGAAAUGCUGAGAUUCAGGUACAUAAUUCUUCGAAGUUUAUGGAGAUAAGUAGACAGGGUGGUUAAUAAGUUGUUUAGCACACUUUCCUUCAUUGCUCAGAACUUUGAGUAUAGGAGUUGGGGUGUUAUGUUAAGAUUGUAUAGGACAUUGGUUAGGCUUCACUUGUGGUAUUGUGUGCAGUUCUGGUCACCCUGUUACAGGAAGGACACUAUUAUUAAACUGGAGACAGUUCAGACAAGACUCACUGGGAUGUUGCCAGGAUUGGAGGGCUUGAUGAUCAAAAUCGACUGCCAAAGCUAGGACUUUCCUCACUGCAGUAAAGGAGGUUAAGGGGUAACCUUAGAACUUUAUGAAAUCAUGAGGGCACAGAUUAUGUGACUAGUAAGGGGUUUCCCCUAGGCUGGGGGAUUUCAAGACAAGGGGAUAUGUGUAAGGUGAGAGGAGAAAUACAUCUUUAAAAAACGACAUGAGGGACAUUUUUUCUU